AUACUACUCCCUCCGUCCGGAAAUACUUGUCCGAGGAAUGGAUGUAUCUAGAUGUAUUUUAAUUCUAGAUACAUCUACUUAUAUCCAUUUUGACGACAAGUAUUUCCGAACAGAGGGAGUAGUAA
rnacentral:pre_miRNA from 1 species